ensembl:lncRNA
GGAUCUGCUCCAGGACACCAUUUCUCACUCUCAGGACUGUCAUUUUGAGAAAUACGAACGCCGUUACAUUGAGAGGAUAUGCAGAGAAGAAUGGGAGGAACUCCCCAAAUACAGGUGUGCCAAGCUUGUAGCGUCAUACCCAACAGGACCUGAGCCCUAGGACCAUGCCUCAGGACUACCUGACAUGAUGACUCCUUGCUGUCCCCAGUCCAUCUGGCCGUGCUGCUGCUCCAGUUUCAACUGUUCUGCCUUAUUAUUAUUGGACCAUGCUGGUCAUUUAUGAACAUUUGAACAUCUUGGCCAUGUUCUGUUAUAAUCUCCACCCGGCACAGCCAGAAGAGGAC